UAGGGAAUAUUGCUCAAUGGGCGGAAGCCUGAAGCAGCAACGCCGCGUGGAGGAUGACACUUUUCGGAGCGUAAACUCCUUUUCUUAGGGAAGAACAAUGACGGUACCUAAGGAAUAAGCACCGGCUAACUCCGUGCCAGCAGCCGCGGUAAUACGGAGGAUGCAAGCGUUAUCCGGAAUUAUUGGGUUUAAAGGGUGCGUAGGCUGUUUUGCAAGUCAGGGGUGAAAGCCCGGAGCUCAACUCCGGAACUGCCUUUGAUACUGCGAGGCUGGAAUACGGAUGCCGUGGGAGGAAUGAGUAGUGUAGCGGUGAAAUGCAUAGAUAUUACUCAGAACACCGAUUGCGAAGGCAUCUCACGAAUCCGUCAUUGACGCUGAGGCACGAAAGCGUGGGGAGCAAACAGGAUUAGAUACCCUGGUAGU
rnacentral:rRNA from 1 species